UUGUCAUCGCACAUUCCAUUCUUUUUUCAAGAAAUUUUAUUUCAGAAAGAAAGGUUUUCACAUUUUCAUUCACUAAUAUUUAUUAUCGAGAAAUUCUACCAUGGCCGCAUGCUUCAUGGUGUUCUGCGAAGUGUACAUCAGAAUAUGUCCAUUGUACAUAUGGUGCCUGUGCAUGGUGAUCAGCCCAUCGAUUUUGUGGACCCAAAAAGCAAUGGUAUCCGAAUGUUCUAGGCUUCUAGCUAGACAUCUGCUCAGUGGCCUGAAGAGGACAAUUAACCCAAAAAGAGCAACUGUACAUGUUCAGUCAUCAGUGGGAAAAACUUGCAAUAAUUUGGUGGUCAAAAUUGUUGAAAAAUGGUUAUGCCGAUAGCCUAACCAUAUUGUGGCCAAUGAGAUCAAUGGUACUGGUCAGCACAGACGUUUGCCAUGUGUAAGGACACUUCACAAAUGUGUGUUUCUAUAGCAAAGCUGUCUUGAUGUCAUUAAAAAAACGCUCUGAAUCAUGCUUCACCACAAGUUUGUGUCUUUGACUCUAUAUAGCAUUCUAUCCGUAAUAUCAAAGCCUGAUCUCUGUGUAAACUGAAGAACUUUCACUUUUUCCUAUAGUUGUGCAUAUAACAAGGCUGAAUAAUUUUAGAUGAGGACUCAUCAUCUGCAACUGAAAUGUUGCUUGCAACCUCAUCCAAUGCUUAUUUAGCAGUGUGUAGGACAUUCGAGCCGUUACGUAUGCUCCAUCAUGAAGAUCACCUGUCACACAAAUCUGUUCUGUUGCUCAUCAGGCGAACACCCGAUAUGGAAACAACACAUGAUGUUCUGAUUCAACUUGUACUUGUGUCCCACCUGAUGGCUGGAUUGGCCUGAUUAUUGUCCUGGGUGAUCAUGGUCGUGCCGCCUUAAACAUGGCCCAGAUUUCCUAAUUCCUACAUGUGCGUUACAAUGGCAUUUCAACGAGUUUCCAUGUUAUGAUCACAUGAAACUUGUUUUGGUUAUCAGUCAUCAUGUCAAUUAAUUAUUAUAGAGGUGCUCAUGGUCAAUUUUCUGUUAUCCAGUGGAUGGUUAGAAGGUGGAUAAAAUAUCUUGGGUUAGAGGAAGCCAUGAGGCUUUCAGCCUCAGGUUCUUCUCUUAUCUCAUUUUCUUCAGUCAAUGAUCUUAUGUCUGCUGAUGCAUGGCUGAUUUGCAGCCACCUCUUCAAAUGACAGGGCAAACAGUGCAAAAGGUUUUACAAGAGCUGACCUUGUUGAGUAUUUUGUUUUUCUUACACAGGCUAUCAUUAACAACCUUAAAAAUAAACUUUCUACUGACGUGCCCCUCACUUUUAUGCAAAUGACAAUCAUCAUCAUAGCCUUGUAUCCUAUCACAGACAAAAGUGCCCCUUUCUCUUAUGGAAAAGAAAAUUUCCCCCAUUUUUAUAGGUAAGCUGGGAUUGAAUGUGAGACCUCAAUGUUGAAAUGUACUGUCUACCAUUGAGCUACGGGCUCGAAUCAUGGAAAAGACAUGAUUAUAAAGACAUUGUGAAUUAACUUUGAAUUUUGGAGUUGCAUUUAUGGUAAGGUGAAGUGUUGGUAUGUCUGUAUUUACCUGGUAAAGUUGGAUGUUUGCUUGGUCAUUAUUUCAUCCAUGUGACAGAUAUGAAAGAUGGGUGAGUGAACAAUUCUUGCUUAAAAAGGUUGGAGUUUUGUAGGAAGUACAGCAGCAUCAGAUAAAAUCAGAUCAACCUAAAUUCAUCUGGGAAUGGGUUUAUAGAAUUCAACUUAUAUGCUUGAAGUACAGCUCUUUAUUGUUCCUCAUCAACCAUCCUUGCAUAUGGAUGAUUUUGUCCGCAUCAAAACCGGCAUGCAGGUGUGUGCUAAAAUCUAUAACACAACAAAACGAGUAUUACCAUUGCCUGUUUCCUUUCCAUAGGACUUGAUAUUUUGUCUGUUUAAAGGUAUGGAUGGUUAUUCAAUUCAAACUAAAUUGAUCUUCAUCACUAAGAAUACAAACUACAUGGUUAAUGCAUGGGACUUGGGGCAGUGUGGUACAAUUUCAGCCAA